rnacentral:rRNA from 1 species
GAUCAUGGCUCAGGAUGAACGCUAGCUACAGGCUUAACACAUGCAAGUCGAGGGGCAGCAUUUUAGUUUGCUUGCAAACUAAAGAUGGCGACCGGCGCACGGGUGAGUAACACGUAUCCAACCUGCCGAUAACUCUGGGAUAGCCUUUCGAAAGAAAGAUUAAUACCGGAUGGCAUAGGAUUAUCGCAUGAUAAUCCUGUUAAAGAAUUUCGGUUAUCGACGGGGAUGCGUUCCAUUAGGUAGUUGG